ensembl:snoRNA small nucleolar RNA, H/ACA box 10
CUUCUCUCAGCUCCGCUUAACCACAUUCUGUAUGUGGUUGGCGUAUUUUCAGAGAGAGAGAGAGAAAGGCCCUCCUAAUGCACGACAGACUGGCCCAUAGUGGCCUGUUUGUUCCUAGGAGUGCAACAGUC